GAGGAUUAUUGCUGGUCUUUAUUGAUCAGCUCCUCUGAAAUGCAUUAGUGUGAAUGUUUACCAAGCAUUUUCUCAGUGUGAUAAUUAUCUACGCUGUAGUUGCUCGGAUUAUAUAAAUUUCAUGCUUCAAACUGUCUGCAUAAGCAGACAAUUACUUGACAUCUGACCUCAAAUCAGGUAGGACUACCCGCUGAACUUAA
rnacentral:misc_RNA from 1 species